CCUACGGGCGGCAGCAGUGGGGAAUAUUGGACAAUGGGGGCAACCCUGAUCCAGCCAUGCCGCGUGUGUGAAGAAGGCCCUCGGGUUGUAAAGCACUUUCAGUGAGGAAGAACGCCUGGUGGUUAAUACCCAUCAGGAAAGACAUCACUCACAGAAGAAGCACCGGCUAACUCCGUGCCAACAGCCGCGGUAAUACGGAGGGUGCGAGCGUUAAUCGGAAUUACUGGGCGUAAAGCGCGCGUAGGUGGCUUGAUAAGCCGGUUGUGAAAGCCCCGGGCUCAACCUGGGAACGGCAUCCGGAACUGUCAAGCUAGAGUGCAGGAGAGGAAGGUAGAAUUCCCGGUGUAGCGGUGAAAUGCGUAGAGAUCGGGAGGAAUACCAGUGGCGAAGGCGGCCUUCUGGACUGACACUGACACUGAGGUGCGAAAGCGUGGGUAGCAAACAGGAUUAGAUACCCCAGUAGUC
rnacentral:rRNA from 1 species